UACAGAGGGGGCAAGCGUUGUUCGGAAUUACUGGGCGUAAAGGGCGCGUAGGCGGCCGCCUAAGUCAGACGUGAAAUCCCUCGGCUCAACCGGGGAACUGCGUCUGAUACUGGGUGGCUUGAAUCCGGGAGAGGGAUGCGGAAUUCCAGGUGUAGCGGUGAAAUGCGUAGAUGUCUGGAGGAACACCGGUGGCGAAGGCGGCAUCCUGGACCGGCAUUGACGCUGAGGCGCGAAAGCCAGGGGUGCAAACGGG
rnacentral:rRNA from 1 species